ACAGCCAUAAGCUAUUCAAAUAGAGUGCAUUUUUUAGCCUCCCACAGAGAGUCAUUGCUCAGUUCCUCUAUUCUUCAAUCAGGCUGCUACAAAGUGUGAAGGUAUAUUAUUUGGACUGUUGUUCUGCCGAAAUAGCAGUGUUUUCUUGUUACUUCAGGACUUCAGUGAUGAAAUGUUAAAUAUUUUACCAAGACAACGAGUAAACUGAAAGACUAGAGCAUGUCUGCUGUCGAGAGAAGAGGAGCUCAAGAGCCACACUGGAAAAACAGACUUUCCAGAAAUCAGGAUUUCAAGCUUCCCUGGAGGCUUCUGGCUCGGCCCAGGCAUCACGUCAGCAUGAGCACCUGGCUGCCUGAUGGCUCCUGCUCUGCACACCACGCUGACAGGAGUCCCAUUUAUGUGUCUUUUGUCAGCAAAGCCAUCUUGUGGGAUAGAGGACUCUGCCACUACACUGCCCAUGAUCGUCCAAAUCAUCGUCCCUUAUUGUGUCCACGGUUCUUGUCUCACAUGAAAGUUCGUCCUGAGGACCUCAGACCUCCUUGUUUCCUGAGCUCCAAGUCCAGGCCACAGCCUCCAUCUCAGGGGAAGACACCGAAAACGUACACUCUCACUGCCCCAAAGACACAAACGUCAGAGGGUUACUUCUAUCUCAAUCCAGACAGAAGAAGAAAUGGUUUGCAGAUCGCAGGAAGGCACUCUGCUGCUGUUGUUCCCUGUAUUCCACUCCCUGCUGCUCCACCAUCAUCCACCAUUAAUCCAACACCUCCCUACCAAAACACCCCUCAGCCUGACUGUGAGAGACAACAAAGCAAGCCGAGCACUGUGCCAGCAUCUCUCUCCUACCCUAAUCUUGCUCCAGGGGAAAAAGAUGAAGGUCAGGAGAGAGAGAGAGUAAAACAACCUGCUGUGGUAUCCAUCACAAAGUCGGACUGGAAGAUGCAUCUUGGGCCUGCUGGACCAGAACGCUCACCGCCACCAGACUCCACGAUCUCACACGGGUCUCUUUCAGAUUUAAGUCGCCCACCGUCCAGUCUGUUCAGCCGCAGCACUGACCUCGCCAGUGGCAGGAGCAGUGUCCUGUCUGGGGCAGAAAUGAGGGACUCUGACCCAGAAGGCAUCAGUAGUUUCUCGCCGCUCCAGCCUUGUCCAGUGAUGAAGUCACCUUUUGCUUCUUACCCUCCAGCUGGAUCCAACCCUCGCCAAUCAUCCACGAAUGCUACGAUCACCCCUCCACUCUACGAACCGCUAUUUGGCCAAACCAAACCCCUCUCACCUCGUCCAAAGUCAAUUGUCCUUCCUAAGUCAGAUAAACCGUUGAGCAGGCGUGAAAGCACAAAAACAACAGAGAAUCUCCACCAAGAUGGAUCUAUAGAUCCUGAUCUCCACCCAUCAUUGGACUCUGAUCAUGGCCUCACUACCCUGGCUUUCCCCUCCGCUACUUGGUCUUCCUGCCCGAGUCCACAGAUGACCACUCCUAGCUCAGGGUCAGGACCAAAGCUGACCCCUUCUCCAUCAGUGACUCGGCUUGAGUCUCAUCGCUGGCCUGUCCUGCCUCCUAUCUCACCUGUCAGAGGACGCUGUGGCUCAGCAGCAUCACGCUACUCAGAGCUCAGCUGCAGUCGUUCUCAUGUGUUUGAUGAACUGGAGGCCAUCGCUCCUCGGUCCGUGUCUUGUACGUCUCUGGACCAGCCAUCAGACUCAUCCGGUCGCCCUUCACCUAACACAGAGCUGUCUCCUGGCCUGGCAGCGCUGACAGUGGGCUGUGACUCCGGGAAUCUGGGCUCCCUGUCCCGGGUCCAGCUGCUCCUCCUGGACCGACCGGAGCCCGAGAUCCUGCUGAGUCCCUUCAGUCAGGAGGAGGAGCUCUCACCGGUGCAGGACUGGUCCGUUCUCAGGAUGCAGUAUGAUCAAGGAUUGACUUCAGCAGGUGUUUUGAGGCCCCUCACAGCUGGCAGCAUCUCCGAAAGGUGUGACUCUGCAGGGAAAGUACAGGAAAACAAAUCGGAUCAGUCUGAAGGAGGUUCUGGGUCACCAUCUUCCUGGAUCAUAGACCUGAGUCCAUCAUGCAACAUGUUCAGAUCCACCAAUUCUCCUUGCGAGUCCAAUCACGGUUCCAACACAGAUAAAGGAGCCCCCACAGAGGAGGAGGGCAUUUAUCCGGAAUGGAAGGAAGUCGAGUCCUCAGCUGGAGGGAGGAGGCCCAGGAGUCUUGACCAAAAACUUGAAGAGAAGGAGAGAAGGAUGGAGGAGAGGAAAACAAAGGUGCUGAACAUACUUUCCAAACUGCAGGAUGCCACACCUCGUCAGCCAAAAAGCAACAAAGGGCACUCCAACUUUGAGGACUUCGACUUUUUGGCAAAGUUUUGCAUUUUCAGUCAGGAGAAGCUGGCUGAGUACAAAAGAGCUUUUGAAACAGAGGACGAUGAUGGUGACGGCUACAUCUCCUGCCUUCAGGUUCUACUUGCUCUUAAAAACAUCAUCCCUCCAGAGCUGCUGUCUGACGAAGAAGAGAUCUACGUGUACAGGAUCCUGGAGAUGGUGGACUUCAGAGUGACAGAUGGGCUUGUGGAUCUGAGGCUCUUUGCUGUGAUUGCUAGUCUGGCACAGAAAAUAGCCACCAUGGAUGAGUUUAUGCGAUCACUAAUCACCAACAUGGACUUCCGCUCGUUAGAAGUGAGGCUCUUCAAAGCAAAGCAACUGUUCCUGUUCCUCAUGGAGGAGCAGCGAGGAGAUGCUGGAGCUCAACGGGGCUUCAUCAGUGCAGAGCAGCUUCUGUUGGAGCUGAAGGCUGGGGGAAUCCAUCUGGAGCAGGAGGCGGCCAUUAGACUGGAGCUGCAGCACAUUCCCCCCCUGGACCUGCUGGACUUCCUGGCCUACCUGCCCCUCUUCAUACUCAUUCACAAGUCGGUCAUCUCCAACCCUCUCGAUGACUCCAGCCACCUUUGACCUCAGUCACUGCACCGUCUGCCCUGCGUGGCUCAGUGACCCUCUCCCCCCCCACUCAUGACCCCCUGUCGGCCCAUGAAACCUCCUUUGAGAGCAACUGAUGCAGCGCACGCGCAUCUUUUUGCAGUGGUGAUUGUUGUAUGUUCAGCGGCAUGCUGCUGUCAGGAGGCACACGCCAUCAGCCAAUUCAGCUCUGUGUCUCCACUCGACCACCACACAAACCCCAUUCACUCAUUAAAGCAGACACGCGUCCGGCUGCAGCCUCCGCCCUACCUGUCAAACUUAGUUUUGCAGAAACACAAGCUCUACCUUAAAAUCGUUUGGUGAUCGCAAAAGUGUGAUCAUCCCCCUGACCGCCCUCCAUGUGUUAAUUUAAAAGACACUGGCAAAGAAAUGUUCUCGUUGUUUAAUUUUUCCUCAAAGUUUCACUCGAUGUGGGAGGUUUAGAUGAAAAAUACUUCCACCCGAAAGCUACAACUUUGGUGCUUUCUCUAAGUUUCAGCCCGUUUGUGUACACGAACAUUAUAGAUGGUGAUUCCACUUAAAUACAUUUUUUUUUUAUGCGAGGAGCUAACGCACGGUUUAAAGCUGCACCAGCCUCUCUUCAUGGCAUAGUCCAAACUAUGAGGACAAAGCGUUUUAAAUUAACAGAAGAAAUUAGUUUUAUGGAAAUGGUGUUUGGUAACUUUAAGAUACAUUUCUUAGGAGAAACCACAUUUCAUCAGUACCCGUAUCUUACGGGUUUAUAGGAUUUCAUAUCAGUGCAUUCUGAAAUAAACAGCAAUGGCUUAAAUUUUACUCUUGUGACACCAGAUUUGGCUACUUUUUGCGCUUGCGCAAAAUGGAUCAAUUCUGUUGUAGAUAGUGUCCAAUUUUAAAAAACAGAAUGCGCAGACUUGGACAUGAGGGACG